rnacentral:rRNA from 1 species
UACGUAGGGUGCGAGCGUUGUCCGGAAUUAUUGGGCGUAAAGGGCUCGUAGGCGGUUUGUCGCGUCGGGAGUGAAAACCUUGGGCUUAACUCAGGGCUUGCUUUCGAUACGGGCAGACUAGAGGUAUGCAGGGGAGAACGGAAUUCCUGGUGUAGCGGUGAAAUGCGCAGAUAUCAGGAGGAACACCGGUGGCGAAGGCGGUUCUCUGGGCAUGAUCUGACGCUGAGGAGCGGAAGUGUGGGGAGCGAACAGG